GCAAUAAUCUGUUAUAGCUGUUAUUCAAUAUAUAAUAAUUUGUUGCAAGUUCAUGGUUUACAUCAUGUGUAACUGAAGGUCCACCAGCAAUAAGGUUUCCAAGCUUCAGUAUCAUUGCAUUGCAUGUUAGUGAAGAUGCAAAAGUAAUGGAAAAUCAAUCUACCUCCCCAUGUAGUUCCUCUGAAGUACCAAUGACAGGAUAAAUAACACACAUUACAUAUUAUUCAGCAACCUUCUCAAAAAGCCACUUCUUUGGCCACCACGUAUUCCUGAGCCGAAAAGAGGUCUUCCAUUUAUCAUUCCAUCUAUAGUGACAUAAGGAAUGUGAGCUAUCUUUGACCACUCUUGCCCCUUACCCUUCUGGCACCUUCGUUUUAGUAGAGGACAACCAUUGAUGAUCAGUUGCAAAAGUGAGCGAGGCAGAGUGUUCUUUGGAAAGGAGGCAAGCUUAGGGCA
rnacentral:misc_RNA from 1 species